UGCCCUCCACGGCAUCAGAUGCCCGCUG
rnacentral:piRNA from 1 species